rnacentral:lncRNA from 1 species
UGUGAAUGACACGCCUCAGUUUCUUUCAAAGGAAACACAUUCGAAUUAAACGAACUAGGAUAUCUACACUUAAAACUAAUUCAAAAUUAGAAAUCACAACUACACCACGGGAGUCGUACCCGUAUUUGUGAUGAUUUAAUUAGUGUCCAAUGCAAACUACAAAAUGCUCAUGUUUAAUUCAAGACUAAGUUUAAGAUUAUCGCGAUGCCUAUUGAAUUAUGGCUACAUCUAAUAUAACGUUUUUGAGAUAUCAAAUCCGCUCACUUGGAUUGUAGAAAGGAAUGGGCCAGCUUUUAUUAAGUCCUUUAACAUAAGGGCCCAAACACAAAGAACUCGUUGAACAGUGAUGUCAACCAUGGGAAUAUCGUGAUACAAUAGGGCCAAGCUAGCCAGAACCUGAGCAUUAUACAUUAACCAAUUUUUAAUUAAUUCACAAACUAUAACAAGAGGAUCAAACAACAACGUAGCAACUGAUAACAAAAUUGUCAUGCAUAUCACAUUGCUCACUUUAAUGAGAUAAUAUAGCUUCUGCACCUUUAGUCCUACUUUAACUUUUUCAUAAAUUUUAUUCACCACCUAGAUAUACAACACCAAGCUUCUGUUUAUGUUAACAUCACACACAUACGUAUUAAAGAAGAAGGAAUGAUAUUGACAUAUUUACAACCCAUAAUUGUGUUCAUUUUUGUUUUUCACGGAAUUUCAUAACCUCACAACUGUAUCAAUUUCAUAAGUGAGUGUUAAAGAACCAGUAGAUUUGUCUUACACUAAGAGGACCUAAAGAAUGAGAUAAAACCCUUUUAAUAAGACUGGAUGCAAUAGCAAUAACCAAACUCCAGACAUCAUUCCCAAAGUCGCCAUAUCAAAGACUCAAAUGACUCCAACAUAGACCAAAAACCAAAAUCACAGUGUACAUACACUUGGUUCAGACAUCUAACACCUUUCGCAAGAUUCUUAACACAAACAAAAUUCAAGUCCUAAAAUUCAUGUGUUACAAUGACAACUUUUAUACUCUAACACUGAUUUACAUCCAUUGACUAAUAGAAGAAGAGAUAUACAAAUUAAUAGAACUUAGGAACCAAUUUCUGAAAAAUCAAUGACUAAUCACAUUAGCCUUAACACAUGCAUUGUCAUAUUCACUUCAAAUUCCAGAGAUUCAAAGGAGUACCUGGAUACAGCAAAACAAAAACCAAAAAUGUAUUAAAAAUCAUCUUAUAGCAGCAAAGCAAUAAUGGGUCCAACAACAAAGAACAGCAGUAACCAUCAAUUCAAUAACCUCAAUAUCCAGCCAUAUUUCAUCUUAGAAAAACCAGAAAAAUCCCAAGAAAGACCACUUCUGAACUUUUUAGCCAAAGAAAGAAAUCAAGCUCAAAACUAAAGUAGUUUUUUUGGAAAAUUUUUCAGCCGUUUUUUUGGAAUCCUCCCAAUAUCUGCCCUAGAAAUCAAGAACAUGAGCUUCUUAUACGAGGGCUUUAGGGUGGCAAAACUUAAUUUUAU